ACGGCUCAGUAACACGUGGAUAAUCUGCCCUAAGGUCUGGCAUAACUCCGGGAAACUGGUGAUAAUUCCAGAUAAACCAUAGAAACUGGAAUGUUCUUUGGUUCAAAGCUCCGGCGCCUUAGGAUGAAUCUGCGGUCUAUCAGGUAGUAGUGGGUGUAGAGUACCUACUAGCCUACGACGGAUACGGGUUGUGAGAGCCAAGAGCCCGGAGAUGGAUUCUGAGACAUGAAUCCCGGCCCUACGGGGCGCAGCAGGCGCGAAAACUUUACAAUGCGGGAAACCGCGAUAAGGGGAUACUGAGUGCCAGCAUAUUAUGUUGGCUGUCCAUAUGUAUAAAUAGCAUGUGUUAGCAAGGGCCGGGCAAGACCGGUGCCAGCCGCCGCGGUAACACCGGCGGCCCGAGUGGUGGCCACUAUUAUUGGGUCUAAAGGGUCCGUAGCCGGUUUGAUCAGUCUUCCGGGAAAUCUGACAGCUCAACUGUUAGGCUUCUGGGGGAUACUGUCAGACUUGGGACCGGGAGAGGUAAGAGGUACUACAGGGGUAGGAGUGAAAUCUUGUAAUCCUUGUGGGACCACCAGUGGCGAAGGCGUCUUACCAGAACGGGUCCGACGGUGAGGGACGAAAGCUGGGGGCACGAACCGGAUUAGAUACCCGGGUAGUCCCAGCCGUAAACGAUGCUCGCUAGGUGUCUGGGACGGUGCGACCGUUUCAGGUGCCGCAGGGAAGCCGUGAAGCGAGCCACCUAAGAAAUACGGCCGCAAGGCUGAAACUUAAGGGAGGAAUUGGCGGGGGAGCAC
rnacentral:rRNA from 1 species